GCAGUGUGUGAAUUUAGAGUCGUCUCCAUGCAACUGCCUGCUGUUGCUGUGUGGUGGGGAAACACCACCAACACCACACAGCAACAGCAGGCAGUUGCAUGGAGACGACUCUAAAUU
rnacentral:pre_miRNA from 1 species